rnacentral:rRNA from 1 species
CCUGGUGACAAUAGCUGUGUGGUCCCACCCGAUCCCAUUCCGAACUCGGAAGUGAAACGCACAUGCGCCGAUGGUAGUGUGGCUCAAGCCAUGCAAGAGUAGGUCAUCGCCGGGG